rnacentral:lncRNA from 1 species
GGGAUAGAAGCCAAAACCCAAGGUCAAGACCACCAACCUGAAAUUAGGAUGGUCAUAGACAUACAGGGGUUGAAGUUCGGCACACCAGCUCCAAGAGUUAGGGCCAAACGGGGUGAUAUAAGGGUCAAGAGGGUAUAAGGGUUAGAAUUAGAUGAGGGGGUAUGAAAGUUAGAUAAGGGGGUAUAAGGGUUAGGGUUAGAUAAGAAGGUAUAAAGGUUAAGGUUAGAUAAAAGGGUAUAAGGGUUAAGGUUAGAACUAAGGGGAUGUAAAGGUUUAAUAAAGAAAUAUAAAGGGUAAACUGAGGGUUAGAUAAGGGGAUGUAAAGGUUUGGGUAGGUAAGGGGGUAUCAAGGUUAGGGUUAGAUAAGCAGGUAUAAGGGUUAGGGUUAGAUAUGGGGUAUAAGGUUAAGGUUAGAGCUAAGGGGAUAUAAAGGUUUAAUAAAGAAAUAUAAAGGGUAAACUGAGGGUUAGAUAAGGGGAUGUAAAGGUUUGGGUAGGUAAGGGGGUAUCAAGGUUAGGAUUAGAUAAGCAGGUAUAAGGGUUAGGGUUAGAUAAGGGGUAUAAGGUUAAGGUUAGAGCUAAGGGGAUAUAAAGGUUACAUAAAGGGAUACAAAAGGUUAAGGUUAGGAUUAUAAGGGAGUAUAAGAGUUAGGGUUAAAUAACGGGGUAUCAAGGUUAGGAUUAGGUAAGCAGGUGUAAAGGUUAGGGUUAGAUAAGGGGAUAUAAAGGUUAAGAUCAGAACUAGAGGGGUAUGAGGAUUAGAUAAAGGGAUAUGAGGGUUCGGGUAGGGGUUAGGUAAGAAAGGUGCAGAGAUUGA